rnacentral:rRNA from 1 species
AUGCUUAGGGCUGUUUUGAAGAAUAAUAAGAAAAUGUGGGAGGAAUGCUUGCCUCAUAUUGAAUUUGCUUAUAAUCGUUCAUUGCAUUCUACUACUAAGAUGUGCCCUUUUGAAGUUGUGUAUGGUUUCCUACCUCGUGCACCUAUUGAUUUGUUGCCUCUUCCAUCUUCGGAGAAGGUUAAUUUUGAUGCUAAACAACGUGCUGAAUUGAUUUUAAAAAUGCAUGAGUUAACUAAGGAAAACAUUGAGCGUAUGAAUGCUAAAUAUAAACUUGCUGGAGAUAAGGGUAGAAAACAUGUUGUGUUUGCACCUGGAGAUCUUGUUUGGUUACAUUUGCGUAAGGAUAGAUUUCCUGAUUUGCGCAAAUCAAAGCUAAUGCCACGUGCUGAUGGUCCCUUUAAGGUGUUAGAGAAAAUAAAUGAUAAUGCAUAUAAACUUGAGCUGCCUGCAGAUUUUGGGGUUAGUCCCACUUUUAACAUUGCAGAUUUGAAGCCUUAUUUGGGUGAGGAAGAUGAGUUUCCGUCGAGGACGACUUCAUUUCAAGAAGGGGAGGAUGAUGAGGACAUCAAUACCAUUGUUACACCCACAGCCCCUGCUGCUAUACAUACUGGACCAAUUACUAGAGCUCGCGCACGCCAACUAAAUUACCAGGUACUUUCGUUUCUUGGUAAUGAUUCUAAUGUUCAUGAGAAUAUGAUGCUGCCUAAAUUGGAUACAUUUGUUUUGCUUACAAAUGAAGGGCCUAGCUUGGAGAAGGAUGAACAUUGGAGCAAGAACAAGCAUGGAGAUGAUGGCAUGCGCAAGGGGAACAAGAACGGAGUUACAAGUGAUGAUUUCAGGACUUUGAAGCCACCAUAA